rnacentral:tRNA from 1 species
GGGGGGUAUGUGAUCCUGGUGGACACCGCAGGCUUCAACCCUGAUCGGAGGUUCGUGUGUACGCGCCUCGGUAGGUUCGAUUCCUACACCUUCUCGCCA